rnacentral:rRNA from 1 species
GGUCAACUUCACGCGUUAAGCUGACCCUGAGCCAGGAUCAAACUCUAGGUCGACCAUAUGAAAGCGGGGGAUCGCAAGACCUCGCGCUAUUGGAGCGGCCGAUAUCAGAUUAGGUAGUUGGUGGGGUAAAAGCCUACCAAGCCGACGAUCUGUAGCUGGUCUGAGAGGACGACCAGCCACACUGGGACUGAGACACGGCCCAGACUCCUACGGGAGGCAGCAGUGGGGAAUUUUGGACAAUGGGCGCAAGCCUGAUCCAGCCAUGCCGCGUGCGGGAAGAAGGCCUUCGGGUUGUAAACCGCUUUUGUCAGGGAAGAAAUCUUCUGAGCUAAUACCUCGGGAGG